UACGGGGGGGGCAAGCGUUGUUCGGAAUUACUGGGCGUAAAGGGCUCGUAGGUGGCCAACUAAGUCGGACGUGAAAUCCCUCGGCUUAACCGGGGAACUGCGUCUGAUACUGGUUGGCUUGAAUCCGGGAGAGGGAUGUGGAAUUCCAGGUGUAGCGGUGAAAUGCGUAGAGAUCGGGAAGAACGCCGGCGGCGAAAGCGACUCUCUGGUCGGAAUCUGACGCUGAGGCGCGAAAGCUAGGGGAGCAAACGGG
rnacentral:rRNA from 1 species